rnacentral:tRNA from 2 species
AGUCUUAUAGUUUAAUAAAAACUUUAAAUUGCAAAUUUAAAAAUGUUCAAUAUCUUCUAAGACUU